rnacentral:rRNA from 1 species
AGUGAACGCUGGCGGUAGGCCUAACACAUGCAAGUCGAACGGCAGCACAGUAAGAGCUUGCUCUUACGGGUGGCGAGUGGCGGACGGGUGAGGUAUACAUCGGAAUCUACUUUUUCGUGUGGGAUAACGUAGGGAAACUUACGCUAAUACCGCAUACGAUCUACGGGUGAAAGCAGGGGAUCUUCGGACCUUGCGCGAUUGAAUGAGCCGAUGUCGGAUUAGCUAGUUGGCGGGGUAAAAGCCCACUAGGGCGACGAUCCGUAGCUGGUCUGAGAGGAUGUUGAGCGACAGAGAAAGUGAGCGACGACCCAGGGACCUAGGGGAGGCAGCGGCGGGGAAGAUUGGAAAAAGGGCGGAAGACUGAUCCAGCCGUACCGGGCGGGUGAAGAAGCCCUUCGGGUUGUAAAGCCGUUUUGUGGGGAAAGAAAAGCAGCAGGUUAAUACCCCGCUGUUCGAACGGUACCCAUAGAAUAAGCACGGGCUAACUUGGU